UUGAACAAGAUUUCUGAAUGAAGUUCUAGUGUAAUAUUCGUGUUUCAUAUAUUACACUAGAACUCCAUUCAGAAAUAUUGUUC
rnacentral:pre_miRNA from 1 species